rnacentral:rRNA from 1 species
CUACGGGGGGCAGCAGUGGGGAAUAUUGCGCAAUGGGCGAAAGCCUGACGCAGCAACGCCGCGUGAUCGAUGAAGCUUCAAGGAGUGUAAAGAUCUGUCCUAAGGGAAGAAUGGUUCCAAGUCGAAUAGGCUUGGUUCGUGACGGUACCUUAGAAGAAAGCGCCGGCUAACUUCGUGCCAGCAGCCGCGGUAAUACGAGGGGCGCAAGCGUUGUCCGGAUUCAUUGGGUGUAAAGGGUGCGUAGGUGGAUUUGUAAGUUGGAAUUUAAAUCCCGCAGCUUAACUGCGGACCUGGUUUCAAAACUGCAGAUCUUGAGUUCGAAAGAGGGUAGUGGAAUUCCUAGUGUAGCGGUGGAAUGCGUAGAUAUUAGGAGGAACACCAGUGGCGAAGGCGGCUCUCUGGUUCGAUACUGACACUAAGGCACGAAAGCGUGGGGAGCAAACAGGAUUAGAUACCCUAGUAGUC